rfam:Nematostella vectensis strain CH2 x CH6 NEMVEscaffold_8_Cont1723, whole genome shotgun sequence.
GAUUUUGUUGACCUUACACUGUGACGAUGGUGCGACCCAGCCAUGCAUGCCUAAGUAGAAGCACUUGUACUGUGAAACUGCGAAUGGCUCAUUAUAUCAUUUAUCGUUUAUUUGAUUGUACCUUUACCACUUGAAUAACCGUGGUAAUUCUACAGCUAAUACAUGCUAAAAGUCCAGACUUCUGGAAGGGAUGUAUUUAU